rnacentral:rRNA from 1 species
GUGGGGAAUAUUGCACAAUGGGGGAAACCCUGAUGCAGCGACGCCGCGUGAGCGAAGAAGUAUUUCGGUAUGUAAAGCUCUAUCAGCAGGGAAGAAAAUGACGGUACCUGACUAAGAAGCACCGGCUAAAUACGUGCCAGCAGCCGCGGUAAUACGUAUGGUGCAAGCGUUAUCCGGAUUUACUGGGUGUAAAGGGAGCGUAGACGGCUGUGCAAGCCUGAAGUGAAAGGCCGGGGCCCAACCCCGGGAGUGCUUUGGGAACUGUGCGGCUAGAGUGUCGGAGAGGCAAGUGGAAUUCCCAGUGUAGCGGUGAAAUGCGUAGAUAUUGGGAGGAACACCAGUGGCGAAGGCGUCUUGCUGGACGAUGACUGACGUUGAGGCUCGAAAGCGUGGGGAGCAAACAGG